AUGGCUUCUGAGGAAACCAAACCAAAGAAGCAAAGAGAUGAGGAAUGCAUUAUAAACGGUCUCCCAGGAGAACUCAUUGAGCGGAUAUUUUUGAAGCUUCCAGUGAGCACUUUGUUGAGGUGCACUGGUGUUUGCAAGCAGUGGCACAAAAUCAUCCGAGAUCCUCAGUUUGUCACCUCUCACCUCCAGGAUGCGCCCCAAUGUGCCUUCCUAUUCUUUCCACAAGAGUCAAUCUCAGGUGAGCCCCAUCCUGCUGAUGCUAUCCUGAUUGACGAAGCCUGGUCGCCAUCAACAUAUGCAGUGCCAGUGAUUGGGCCUGACGAUCUCCUUUGUGGUUCAUGCAAUGGGCUUCUUGUCUUAUACACAAAGUCAUCAACACUCAAGGUAGCUAACUUUGCAACUGGUGAAUGCCUGCAUCUUGAGAAACCUGUAAAGAAUUUGAGGGGUGAUCACUUCUUGUUCUACAACUUUGGAUUUCACCCAUUGACAAAAGAAUACAAGAUUACACACUUCCUUGGUGAUCCUGUUGUGGGCAGCACUCGCUCCCAUAAUAAUAGCAGAUUCAGCGUCAUUCAAGUUUACACACUUGGUGAUGAGAAAUGGAGAGACAUCAAAACUCCAGAAGCCCUAAGCUUAAACUGUGUAAAAAACUCUGGAGCAGUCAAUAUUGACGGAACAAUGUGUUGGCUAAUUGAAGACAUGGUAGCUAACUGGCAGCAUGCAGUUAUGACCUUUGAUCUCAGUGAAGAAAGUUUUGCACGGAUACAACUGCCAGCAACUGUACAUGAAGAUUGUGCAGGUGGCGGUCCCCGUCGGUACUGGAUCAGAGAGAUAGAUAGGAAGAUAUGUAUAGCAACUGCUCAAGCCUGUCCUUCUCUUCCCAGGAGGCUUGUUGGUACGCUGCAGAUCUGGGAACUUGAGAACAAAACGGAGCAAAGGUGGAGCCUGAAGUACAAUAUUCAGUACUCGCCAGUUUACAUUCCGGGUUCAAAUUUGGUUCACAGGAAUAAGAUCAUACUGCAAGGUCGCGAGGGCAACCUAUAUUCCUAUGAGUUGCUCGGGGAGAACUUCAAUACUAAAUUGUGUAAGAUGGCAAAGCUGUUAGAUUUCAGUCCCCACAAGCCUGACAACAUGCAAUCCUAUAUCUGUGUGAAGUCACUUGUACGUUUAGAUGUAUACAAGAAGACUGCCAUUGCGCGUAGGCCAAAACAACGGGAAGGCUGGGAAUUGAAGAAGUGGGAGGCAUGGGAGCACCAGCUCUCUGAUUAUGAAAAAUUGUGGACUCGCCUUCAUGGUCUGCUGUCGCGUAUCUUGGAUGAUGCGAUUCGACAGGAUAUAGGCAUGAAAAUCAAUCAAAUAUGUCCAAGCCUUCCAAAUCAGCAACCAAGGCCCCUCCGGCGGCUUAAUUGUGUGGCACAUAAGCAAGAUAGGGAAAAUUUAUCUGCUUGUUUGGAUAUUUAUGAAGGCAUCGAGGGAGGCUUCAAAGAGUAUCAUGAGUGUGAUACUUAG
rnacentral:rRNA from 1 species